rnacentral:tRNA from 6 species
GCCGAGGUGGUGGAACUGGCAGACACGCUAGCUUCAGGAGCUAGUGGGCGCAGGCUCAUAGGGGUUCAACUCCCCUCCUCGGCA